GUGUGACUGCGUACCUUUUGUAUAAUGGGUCAGCGACUUAUAUUCUGUAGCAAGGUUAACCGAAUAGGGGAGCCGAAGGGAAACCGAGUCUUAACUGGGCGUUAAGUUGCAGGGUAUAGACCCGAAACCCGGUGAUCUAGCCAUGGGCAGGUUGAAGGUUGGGUAACACUAACUGGAGGACCGAACCGACUAAUGUUGAAAAAUUAGCGGAUGACUUGUGGCUGGGGGUGAAAGGCCAAUCAAACCGGGAGAUAGCUGGUUCUCCCCGAAAGCUAUUUAGGUAGCGCCUCGUGAAUUCAUCUCCGGGGGUAGAGCACUGUUUCGGCAAGGGGGUCAUCCCGACUUACCAACCCGAUGCAAACUGCGAAUACCGGAGAAUGUUAUCACGGGAGACACACGGCGGGUGCUAACGUCCGUCGUGAAGAGGGAAACAACCCAGACCGCCAGCUAAGGUCCCAAAGUCAUGGUUAAGUGGGAAACGAUGUGGGAAGGCCCAGACAGCCAGGAUGUUGGCUUAGAAGCAGCCAUCAUUUAAAGAAAGCGUAAUAGCUCACUGGUCGAGUCGGCCUGCGCGGAAGAUGUAACGGGGCUAAACCAUGCACCGAAGCUGCGGCAGCGACGCUUAUGCGUUGUUGGGUAGGGGAGCGUUCUGUAAGCCUGCGAAGGUGUGCUGUGAGGCAUGCUGGAGGUAUCAGAAGUGCGAAUGCUGACAUAAGUAACGAUAAAGCGGGUGAAAAGCCCGCUCGCCGGAAGACCAAGGGUUCCUGUCCAACGUUAAUCGGGGCAGGGUGAGUCGACCCCUAAGGCGAGGCCGAAAGGCGUAGUCGAUGGGAAACAGGUUAAUAUUCCUGUACUUGGUGUUACUGCGAAGGGGGGACGGAGAAGGCUAUGUUGGCCGGGCGACGGUUGUCCCGGUUUAAGCGUGUAGGCUGGUUUUCCAGGCAAAUCCGGAAAAUCAAGGCUGAGGCGUGAUGACGAGGCACUACGGUGCUGAAGCAACAAAUGCCCUGCUUCCAGGAAAAGCCUCUAAGCAUCAGGUAACAUCAAAUCGUACCCCAAACCGACACAGGUGGUCAGGUAGAGAAUACCAAGGCGCUUGAGAGAACUCGGGUGAAGGAACUAGGCAAAAUGGUGCCGUAACUUCGGGAGAAGGCACGCUGAUAUGUAGGUGAAGUCCCUCGCGGAUGGAGCUGAAAUCAGUCGAAGAUACCAGCUGGCUGCAACUGUUUAUUAAAAACACAGCACUGUGCAAACACGAAAGUGGACGUAUACGGUGUGACGCCUGCCCGGUGCCGGAAGGUUAAUUGAUGGGGUCAGCGCAAGCGAAGCUCUUGAUCGAAGCCCCGGUAAACGGCGGCCGUAACUAUAACGGUCCUAAGGUAGCGAAAUUCCUUGUCGGGUAAGUUCCGACCUGCACGAAUGGCGUAAUGAUGGCCAGGCUGUCUCCACCCGAGACUCAGUGAAAUUGAACUCGCUGUGAAGAUGCAGUGUACCCGCGGCAAGACGGAAAGACCCCGUGAACCUUUACUAUAGCUUGACACUGAACAUUGAGCCUUGAUGUGUAGGAUAGGUGGGAGGCUUUGAAGUGUGGACGCCAGUCUGCAUGGAGCCGACCUUGAAAUACCACCCUUUAAUGUUUGAUGUUCUAACGUUGACCCGUAAUCCGGGUUGCGGACAGUGUCUGGUGGGUAGUUUGACUGGGGCGGUCUCCUCCUAAAGAGUAACGGAGGAGCACGAAGGUUGGCUAAUCCUGGUCGGACAUCAGGAGGUUAGUGCAAUGGCAUAAGCCAGCUUGACUGCGAGCGUGACGGCGCGAGCAGGUGCGAAAGCAGGUCAUAGUGAUCCGGUGGUUCUGAAUGGAAGGGCCAUCGCUCAACGGAUAAAAGGUACUCCGGGGAUAACAGGCUGAUACCGCCCAAGAGUUCAUAUCGACGGCGGUGUUUGGCACCUCGAUGUCGGCUCAUCACAUCCUGGGGCUGAAGUAGGUCCCAAGGGUAUGGCUGUUCGCCAUUUAAAGUGGUACGCGAGCUGGGUUUAGAACGUCGUGAGACAGUUCGGUCCCUAUCUGCCGUGGGCGCUGGAGAACUGAGGGGGGCUGCUCCUAGUACGAGAGGACCGGAGUGGACGCAUCACUGGUGUUCGGGUUGUCAUGCCAAUGGCACUGCCCGGUAGCUAAAUGCGGAAGAGAUAAGUGCUGAAAGCAUCUAAGCACGAAACUUGCCCCGAGAUGAGUUCUCCCUGACUCCUUGAGAGUCCUGAAGGAACGUUGAAGACGACGACGUUGAUAGGCCGGGUGUGUAAGCGCAGCGAUGCGUUGAGCUAACCGGUACUAAUGAACCGUGAGGCUUAACCUUACAACGCCGAAG
rnacentral:rRNA from 1 species